UACGUAGGGCGCGAGCGUUGUCCGGAAUUAUUGGGCGUAAAGAGCUCGUAGGCGGCUUGUCACGUCGGGUGUGAAAGACCGGGGCUUAACUCCGGUUCUGCAGUCGAUACGGGCAGGCUAGAGUUCGGUAGGGGAGACUGGAAUUCCUGGUGUAGCGGUGAAAUGCGCAGAUAUCAGGAGGAACACCGGUGGCGAAGGCGGGUCUCUGGGCCGAUACUGACGCUGAGGAGCGAAAGCGUGGGGAGCGAACAGG
rnacentral:rRNA from 1 species